rfam:Myotis davidii contig323519, whole genome shotgun sequence.
GGAAGUCCUUGGGUGAUGCACCCCAAAAUCAGUCUCUGUCCUCUCUGGUUCCGAGUUGCGUCACCCAAGAACCACC